CUGUGAUAAAGGUGUGUUGGAAGUUCUAUGCAACUAUGUUUCAUGGGGAGAAUCAAGUAUGAUUCAAGCUGAAAGGUUAUUUUCCUGAACCCAAAGAACAAGGAAAUGUUGCUGGAGAACUUCAAAGAACAGAUUGCUUUGUCUGUGAGAAGCAUCCAGUGGAGCUAUGCAAUAUUCUGGUCUACUUCAUCUACCCAACUCAGGUGAAGUACUACUCUGAGAAUAACAAGAGGCUUAUUCACUUCUCUACUUGUGAAGUUGCAUUUAUUCUGCCCUGCAGAGGAUUUUAUCGAAAUGUUCAAU